UCAGGCUUCUCCCCCAUUUCAGCAUCUUCAGGGAGAUCAGGCCGAAGCCUCUUCAGACAUCAAGUCAUCUUUCAUAGCAGAUCCUGUGGUAAUGAUGGUGAUGAGGCUGCUAACUGGUGAUUGUUUGAAAGUGCUGAGAGAUAAGUGCAAGCCAAGCUCCCCCAUCCAGUUUUGCCUGUCUCUCAGGUGGGGGCACGGCUGCCUAUGUGGUGGGGGGUCCAUUCUUUACUGGAGACCAGGGCACUGCCCAGUUAGGGCCCAGCUGCUGCGAGCUCAACCAGGGAGGCACAUCUUCAAUGAGUUUCUGCAUGGAUGAUGUCUCAGCCUCACUGCCACACCCACUGCUGCACCUAUCUUCUCCACUGGGAUGCCCCUGAACUUGGCUUCCUGGAGCCUUAGUGUUGGGGAUGGGGGUGGGGCACAGAAGCUGUCCUGUUGGGUGGGACCAGGGUGAGGAGAGUUCUUAGAGCAGACUGGGCCACCAUAGAGAGUUCCAGGGAUUCAGACCUCUGUGGCUUCCUCCUUGUCCAGGGGCAAAAGACAACAGUAAACCAUCAUGGAAGACACCAAAAAUACCAGCCAGGGCUGAGUUCAUCCCGUGACAAACACCUGUGUGCCUCUUUUCAUGUCCAAAUCCCCUUCCAUGAGUAGAUACUAUUAUUAUCCCCGUUUUACAGAUGAGGAAACUGAGGCACAGAGUGGUAAGUAAUAUGCCCAAGGUCACUUGGCUAGCCAGCUGCAGAACUGGGGCACAGACCAGGUCCCUUUGAUUCCAAAGUCUAUGCAUAGCCACUAGUUAUCUGGCCCAAGGCUAUGGUUCCUGGGGAGCCAACAUGGCAGGCAGCAGUCCUGGUAGAGAGCAAGGGAGGAGAACACUUCAGAGGCUACCAGAUCUAGGGCAUCAGCCUAGCCACAAUUCUACAAAAACACUUUAGCCCUAUGCUGUCAAGUCUCAAGGUGGGAGACUUGGGAAAUGAAAUGAAACCCCAUAUCACCUCUCCUUUCUACCACAUGUACCCCCUACCCCCAACACACACCUCUGCUCAUGUCUCUGCAGCUGGGCACUCUCCUGGGCUCACCUGCAAAGUGAGCCCUAGCAGUGAGCCAGGAACCAAAAAGAUAGGAUGGCUUUUAGGAAUCUUGAAGUUCCUCUGAAGACACCACCUGGGGGUGGACCCAGACGGGACAGAUGAGGCUCAGAGCAAGGUAAUCUAAUAAUAAUCACAGUGGCAAUUCAGUAAUAAUUUAUUUUUGUUUAGCAUAAGUAUGGGCCAUUUAAUUAUCAUCACCUUACAAGGUACUAUUAGCCCCAUUUUUGAGAUGAGGAAACUGAAGCUCAGAGAAGUUAAGUAAUGUGCUCAAGAUCAUCAGCUUAUCCAAGCCAGUGCUCCACACCAGGCUUGUCUGACUUCAGAGCAUUCCGCUUUCUCACUGGAGGAGGAGAGGAAUGAGCUGAAGACCUGGCUAAUCCACAUGAGAAAGAACAGCCUCUUUGUGACAGAACGAUUUAUAAUCCUUUGGGUAUUUACCCAGUAAUGGGAUUACUGGGUCGAAUGGUAUUUCUGUUUUUAGGUCUUUGAGGAAUUGCCACACUGUCUUCCACAACGGUUGAACUAAUUUACACUCCCACCAACAGUGUAUAAGUGUUCCUUUUUCUCUGCAACCUCACCAGCAUCUGUUAUUUUCUGACUUUUUAAUAAUAGCCAUUCUGACUGGUGUAAGCUGGUAUCUCACUGAGAUUUUGAUUUAUAUUUCUCUAAUGAUCAGUGAUGUUGAACUUUUUUUCCUAUGAUUGUUGGCCGCAUGUAUUUCUUUUGAAAAAUGUCUGUUCAUGUCCUUUGCCCACUUUUUAAUGGGGUUAUUUGCUUUUUUGCUUGUUGACUUGUUUAAGUUCCUUAUAGAUGGUAGAUAUUCGACCUUUGUGGGAUUGCAUAGUUUGCAAACAUUUUUUUUCCCAUUCUGUAGGUUGUCUGUUCACUCUGUUGGUAGUUUCUUUUGCUGUGUAGAAGCUCUUUAGUUUAAUUAGAUCCCAUUUGUCAAUUUUUGCUUUUGUUGCAAUUA